rnacentral:rRNA from 1 species
GACGAACGCUGGCGGCGUGCUCAACACAUGCAAGUCGAACGGUAAGGCCCUUCGGGGUACACGAGUGGCGAACGGGUGAGUAACACGUGGGUGAUCUGCCCUGCACUUCGGGAUAAGCCUGGGAAACUGGGUCUAAUACCGGAUAGGACCACUGCCUGCAUGGGUGGUGGUGGAAAGCUUUUGCGGUGUGGGAUGGGCCCGCGGCCUAUCAGCUUGUUGGUGGGGUGAUGGCCUACCAAGGCGACGACGGGCAGCCGGCCUGAGAGGGUGACCGGCCACACUGGGACUGAGAUACGGCCCAGACUCCUACGGGAGGCAGCAGUGGGGAAUAUUGCACAAUGGGCGCAAGCCUGAUGCAGCGACGCCGCGUGAGGGAUGACGGCCUUCGGGUUGUAAACCUCUUUCAGCACCGACGAAGCGCAAGUGACGGUAGGCGCAGAAGAAGGACCGGCCAACUACGUGCCAGCAGCCGCCGUAA